UUCCGGUUGAUCCUGCCGGAGGCUACUGCUAUCGGGGUCCGACUAAGCCAUGCGAGUUGAGAGGGGUAAGCCCUCGGCAUAUUGCUCAGUAACACGCGGAUAACCUGCCCUUGGGUUUGGGAUAACCCCGGGAAACUGGGACUAAUACCGGAUAGAUCAAAGAAACUGGAAUGUUCUCUGAUCGAAAGCUCCGGCGCCCAAGGAUGGGUCUGCGGCCUAUCAGGUAGUAGUGGGUGUAACGUACCUACUAGCCUACGACGGGUAAGGGUUGUGAGAGCAAGAGCCCUGAGAUGGAUUCUGAGACAUGAAUCCAGGCCCUACGGGGUGCAGCAGGCGCGAAAACUUUACACUGCGGGAAACCGCGAUAAGGGGACCCCGAGUGCCAGCACCUAGUGCUGGCUGUCCAGCUGUUCAAAUAACAGUUGUUAGCAAGGGCCGGGCAAGACCGGUGCCAGCCGCCGCGGUAACACCGGCGGCCCGAGUGGUAGCCGUUAUUAUUGGGUUUAAAGGGUCCGUAGCCGGCCUAUUAAGUCUCUUGGGAAAUCUGGCGACUCAAUCGUCAGGCGUUCAAGAGAUACUGGUAGGCUUGGGACCGGGAGAGGUGGGAGGUACUCCAGGGGUAGGGGUGAAAUCUCGUAAUCCUUGGGGGACCACCGAUGGCGAAGGCAUCCCACCAGAACGGGUCCGACGGUGAGGGACGAAAGCUGGGGGCACGAACCGGAUUAGAUACCCGGGUAGUCCCAGCCGUAAACGAUGCUCGCUAGGUGUCAGGUGCGGUGCGACCGCAUCUGGUGCCGCAGUGAAAACUUGAAGCGAGUCACCUGGGAAGUACGGUCGCAAGGCUGAAACUUAAAGGAAUUGGCGGGGGAGCACUACAACGGGUGGAGCCUGCGGUU
rnacentral:rRNA from 1 species